UCCCGGGGCUGUUUAGGGCUGCAGCUGGGACAAAUCACCUCAAUCAGCUCCAAUCAGCUCCCCAUAAAGCUCUCACUUGUCGGGCUGUGGGGGAGAGUUUGGGCUUUGUGCUCUGAGCUACGCAAGUCUCUGCGGUCCUGGAUACGGAUGAUGCUUUCUGCUGGUGUUGGAGGGAAGCAGAACAAAAUGUGGGUUCUCCAUGUUUGUAAGGGUUCUGGCGGGCACAGCAUUCAAACAGUUUUGGGAUGACGAGUCACAUAAAUAUUGCCUCCAUAUUUUUGAUGUACUGCAGUACUGACCUCUCACUCCAGGAUGGUUGGCAGCUGUGCAGCCCUGUGUUUGUGGGUGUCUGGCACAGGCACAAAGGAACUUGAAGACUUGCUCCAGAAUUCAUCAGGUAUUGAAGAAAGGAAAUUCUUAACUGAAAAUUGCUUUCCACUUCAUUUUUCCUUGCCAGGAAAGGCUGACUUCCCACAGGCGCUGUAAUUCACCACAGGCCCUCCAAGGAUGCCAGUUUUACUGAAAAUUCAAUCUCUUUACUACAAUAGAAGGCCAGCUGAGCUGCCAUCCACAGCAGCACUCAACUAACCCAGUGCCAAUAGUGUGUGAUUCAUUGAUUAUCAUCAAAUGAACUUUCACUUCUAACUUCAGAAAAGAAUUAGACAGAGAUGGAACUCACUGUAAAGGCAGCUGAGCAGACAUAGUUGAAAUGAUGAAAAGGAAUGAUUACACCUCUCAGCUGUACCAAGAAACACUUGGGCCUAUGCUGUUUUUACUUAAAUAUUAUUUAGACUUCUGCAAUUUUGUUUACAGCAUAUCUCAGCAUGAGGUGCCAUAUGGCAGUAGAGGAGUGGGUGCUAAUAAGAGCACAUGUGAGACAACUGUGUCUCUGUGUCCCCCUUCCCAGCUAUCCCAGGAGCACUCUGAGUUGAGACUUUAGCCUGCAGGCAACUGAAGUUUGCUCAAGACUUUGUCUGGCUUCCACUCAGGUGUUUGCAUGGCCAUCUGACACAUUAAUAAAUGAAUGAGCAUUAAGAUGGUUCCCAGCUGUGUUUUCCAGGCAGAUGCAUCACCAGGAUGCUUUGUGGUAGUGCUGAUCACUGCAGAGCACCUGGAGGCUUUGGAGCAGGGAUUGUCCCUGCAGGUAAGGGGUCUGCCUGCACCCAGCCCCUCAGCCCUGCUUAGGUGACACAGCCAUGGGAUGGGCUGCUGGAACUGCACCCUGACAGGGCAGCUGGGCAUGGGGAAGGCUGGGACACUCUGUCCUGUCCCUCCUGCAGCACAGCAACAGCACUGGCCUUUGCUGCUGUUGGAUUUCCCAUUUCAGCCAGCUUAGUGGCUGUGCCCAUACUUCGCUUUCUGCUCUGCCAGGUAUUGCACACGUGUGUGUGUGUUUAUCUGAGAUACUCCACACACCAGCCUAAGGUGAGCUCUGUGACCUCUGUGUUUGCCGUGGCUUGGAACAUUAUCUGUUAAUAAUUUUAAUCCUGCUGGAGGUUUAGCUGGGUGCCUUCCUCACACACACAAAUGAUGAAAAUAUUUCACCAUUUUUCAAGGAAGAGUUCAAAAUGGAGAUAAAUCAACAUGCAAUGGAAGGGAUAUUGAUUCAUUUCCUCACCUUUGGAAUGAAUACCUCCCCCCCAGCAAAAAGCUAUGAAAGGGAAGCCAUUGUUUGUCUGAAACAAACAAGGCUCAAUAAAUCUUAAUUCUGCUAAAAGAUAGUGCUGAGACCAGAAAAAUACAGCUCAGCAUUACUGGAACCAAACAUGAGAUUAUCUUUCUCUUUUACCAUUGUACUUGAUCUACUACUUGGGCUGUGUUUUUAAUGAAGAAUUACUUAAGUGUGGAACAAAAUUCUCAUUUUAAUAGUAAAACUGUAUUCUUAUUCUUCCAUUUAACCGGGGGAGUUCCACAUUAGUCUCAUUGAAUACCUGACUUUGACCUAUGGCAGUACCAGAAGUCAGAGAGUGCUUUAAGAGCUUCCAGCAGGGUAUCUCUGGUCCAAGCAGUCUGGCAGGGCUGUAAAGCACCAAGUGCUGAACUAUGGGCACUGGUUCUGCUGAACACCAAGGCCUGUCUCAGGUGCUUGGUGCUCAGGGAAUGUGCCAGUAACUCCCAGAUUUGGGCCUCUAGCUCAUGCUGGACAUAUUUCCUCUGAAUAUUUUAUACAGCCCUUUUAAAAUGUAUUCAUUUUGCACAAAUUCCUCUUGUAUUUGCUUCCCAUCAAUAUUUAUGGAGGUGGCAGUGCUGCUGUGCAAAAUGUGCAUGGGAGGUAUUUUAAAUUACUCCCUGGGCCAGUCACACUGGCCCUACAGUGUCCCUCCCUCCCCAUCAGGCCAGGGCAGGAGGGGCUUUGUGGGAACAGCACAGCUCAUGGGGGAGCUGGGAGCCUCCUUGGGCAGCAGAAGUUUCUUGUCAAAUGCACAAAAAUGUUCUUAACAAGUCCACAUGCCCUGGCACACAGCACCAAGGCUGCCCCUCUGGCUGCAGCAUCAGCAUGCAGUGGCAAAGGAGUGACGUUCAGAACAUUGCACUCAGACAUGAGCUGGGACUGGGUGUGUUGGGAUCUGCCCCAAAAAGAGCCUUAGAAGCUUUCUUUCUUCUGUAACUGCUUUGUGACAGUGGCAAUGUAAAACUAUCUCAAGUGUGUCUCAGACACACAGAAAAAGUUUUGUUCAACCCAGUAAUUAUUGCUGCUACUCCAUCUUGUUAUCCAGGAAACUCCUUCCUAAUGGGCAGUCAUGGAAUGACCUGUGUGGGAAAAAUUGCUUUUUAUAUCAAGUCAAAAAUCUGUAGAG